AUAGCAGAAGACACUUGCCCAAGGUGCCAGGCAGUGGGACUGAACCCGGAACCAUGUGGUUGGUUAGCAAGCUACUUACCACACAGCCACUCCUGCGCCAUUAUAGAUAUAUUCUUCAUUCUUACAUCCAUAGAUAUUUUUUGAGAUGUUUGGGUAUCGUUAAUAAAUUUUACAAUUAAACUUUUAAGAGAAGAUAAUGCAGCAUAAGCAUAAGAUGACAUUGCAAUUAGUGAGAAUUUCUUUCUAUAGAAAUUGUAAUUAAGUAAAGAAUUCAUUGAAAAAAUAAUGACUUGAUAACAUGAAACACGUCUUUACUUCUUUUUACAUAGUUUUCAAAGCCAUAACCCAUUAUUUGACCCUCAUAAUUCUGGAUAUAAUUAUAAAUUAGAUGGAAAACUUCACAUAACUAUUCAGAGUAGAUUUAGUGUUGCACAAUUAAACUGGAAGGAACACAAAAUCCUUCUCAGAGAUUUUGCAUAUUUCACCAUCUAACAGGUUAUGUAGGUGUCCUGGUACUACUCCCAUCUCUCUUUCUCUCUCUCUCUCUCUCUCUCUCUCUCUCUCUCUCUCUCUCUCUCUCUCUCUCUCUCUCUCUCUCACACACACACACACACUAGAUCAUUCCCAUAUACAUAUCAUCAGACACAAAGAAACAGGUCAUUAGCAAAAGACUAAGCCUCUAUCUGUCUGUCUGUCUCUCUCUCUUUCAAAGACUUGUUUUGUUAUGACCAUCUCUACUAACUUAAUUAUAUAAUCAAUUGUUAACAUGUACUGAGCAUCAAAAUGCUAAUUAAUAAUUAUAUGGUAAACAAAAGACAUUAGCAUAAAGAGUAAUGUUAUUUUAAUCAUUUCGUCAAAUACAGGAGAAAACUUCCAGCAUAUUUCAAGUUUAUUAGACCUCCUCAGCUAAGCACAACCUUCGCUCUACUUGUCAAAGUAGUGAAGAUAAACAUUAAGUAGAUUUACCAUAACGAACAUGGUUAAGCAUGUAUACCACCAUAUUAAAAAAUAAACCAGGGAAAUUACUCAGAUGCUGUCUGCAUAUAGCUUCAGCUCUUUGCAGUUUCUUCCCUCUCAUGCAUAACUUUUUUUUUUCUGUGGUAAUUAGUACUUAUCAGUUCUUGAUACCAAUAUGUUUUAGAGUUCAUUUGACCACCACAAAAGGUGAUGUUAAGUGUUUUUUUUAUAGAGUGGCUUGGGGAAAGCUGUUAGCUAUCAAGUGAAGCUAGUUAUAGAAUACAAUUGGGUACAACAUUCAUCAAUUUGGCAAUAUCCACUCUGCAGACAGCAAUGACUUGUACCUUCAUAUGGUUUCUAUUUGUAGUGAGAUGGUUUUGGUCCCUGAGAGUUAAGUAUCUCUACCAGAGAUACAGACUACCAUCAUUUACCAGCACUGAAGCAUUAACCCUAUUGGCUCUAUCUGCUGCAGUUGAUCUGAUUGUUUUAUAAUUAAUGAAUUAGUUCUGUAAAUUACUUAGGUUC